rnacentral:rRNA from 1 species
UGCCUACAACAUAGCAGUAAUGCACCGAAUCCCAUUAGAAAUUUGCAGUUUAGCGCACUCAGGCUAUGCAGUAGUACUGGGAUGGGUGAUUGUCUGGGAAUUCCUAGUGUUUUAAAUGC